rnacentral:rRNA from 1 species
GGUCAAGCUACAAAGGGCGCAUGGUGAAUGCCUUGGCAUCAGGAGCCGAUGAAGGACGCGAUAAGCUGCGAUAAGCUUCGGGUAGACGCACAUAGUCAGAGAUCCGAAGAUUUCCGAAUGAGGAAACUCACAUGGGAAACCCCAUGUAUCAUAAAGUGAAUACAUAGCUUUAUGAAGGUA